GCUGACGAUAAACGCAAACGAAAAGCAUCUCGGUGUGUAGGAGCCUUAAAGCUAAACAUGGCAGCGCCCAGUCAGUACCUGGAUGGGAGACCACAAGGGAAAGCUGGGUUGCUGCCGGAA
rnacentral:rRNA from 1 species